rnacentral:rRNA from 1 species
UACGUAGGGUGCGAGCGUUAAUCGGAAUUACUGGGCGUAAAGCGUGCGCAGGCGGCUUUGCAAGACAGAUGUGAAAUCCCCGGGCUCAACCCUGGGAACUGCAUUUGUGACUGCAUCGCUGGAGUGCGGCAGAGGGGGAUGGAAUUCCGCGUGUAGCAGUGAAAUGCGUAGAUAUGCGGAGGAACACCGAUGGCGAAGGCAAUCCCCUGGGCCUGCACUGACGCUCAUGCACGAAAGCGUGGGGAGCAAACAGG